rnacentral:rRNA from 1 species
UACAGAGGUGGCAAGCGUUGUUCGGAAUUACUGGGCGUAAAGGGCGCGUAGGCGGCUUGGUCAGUCCCGUGUGAAAUCCCUCGGCUCAACCGAGGAAUUGCGCUCAAAACUACCUGACUAGAGGAAGAUAGAGGUGAGCAGAACUGAUGGUGGAGCGGUGAAAUGCGUUGAUAUCAUCAGGAAUACCGGAGGCGAAGGCGGCUCACUGGGUCUUUUCUGACGCUGAGGAACGAAAGCUAGGGGAGCAAACGGG